rnacentral:rRNA from 1 species
GUUAACUCGGGGGCAGAGUCCGGGGAAAGAAGAAUGGUGCAAUGGUUUGUCGGGAUUACGGGGCGUAAAGCGCGAGCAGGCGGUUGGAUAAGUUGGAUGUGAAAGCCCCGGGCUGAACCUGGGAAUUGCAUUUAAAACUGUCCAGCUAGAGUCUUGGAGAGGGGGGUAGAAUUACUGGUGUAGCGGUGAAAUGCGUAGAGAUAUGGAGGAAUACCGGUGGCGAAGGCGACCCCCUGGACAAAGACUGACGCUCAGGUGCGAAAGCGUGGGGAGCAAACAGGAUUAGAUACCCGUGUAGUC